rnacentral:rRNA from 1 species
AGCCUUAAGUAUUUAUUUAAGGUGCAACCUGCCCAGUGAAGUUUAUUUUAAAUGGCCGCGGUACUUUGACCGUGCUAAGGUAGCAUAAUCACUUGACUUUUAAAUGGAGUCUGGAAUGAAUGGGAUAACGGAGCUUAGCUGUCUCUAUUCUUUUAUUUUGAAUUUACUAAUUAGGUGAAAAGGCCUAAAAAUGAAAAAAGACGAGAAGACCCUUAGAGUUUUUAAAAAUUUUUGUUGGGGCGACACAGGAUAAACAUCCUGAAAUAUAUAGGACGGAGUUUCAUGUAUAGAUAAACUACCUGAGGGAUAACAGCAUAAUCUUUUUUGGUUUGUGACCUCGAUGUUGGACUAGGAAGCUUUUAGGCUAGCCGCCUAAAUAGGUGAUUCUGUUCGAAUUAAUACUCCU